GAUGAACGCUGGCGGCGUGCCUAAUACAUGCAAGUCGAGCGAACAGAUGAGGAGCUUGCUCCUCUGACGUUAGCGGCGGACGGGUGAGUAACACGUGGAUAACCUACCUAUAAGACUGGGAUAAUUUCGGGAAACCGGAGCUACUACCGGAUAAUAUAUCGAACCGCAUGGUUCAAUAGUGAAAGACGGUUUUGCUGACACUUAUAGAUGGAUCCGCGCCGCAUUAGCUAGUUGGUAAGGUAACGGCUUACCAAGGCAACGAUGCGUAGCCGACCUGAGCGGGUGAUCGGCCACACUGGAACUGAGACACGGUCCAGACUCCUACGGGAGGCAGCAGUAGGGAAUCUUCCGCAAUGGGCGAAAGCCUGACGGAGCAACACCGCGUGAGUGAUGAAGGACUUCGGAUCGUAGAGCUCUGUUGUUAGGAAAGAAGAAAAGUGUAUGUAACUAUGCACGUCUUGACGGUACCUAAACAAAAAGCCACGGCUAACUACGUG
rnacentral:rRNA from 1 species